UAGAUUACAAAUUUUAUCUACCAAAAUUAAAUAAACAUAGAACAAAUUUCAAAAUUAGCACCGCCCCUGUGCAAGGAUGACACAAAAAUCCAUGAAGCACUCCAUAUUUGG
rfam:Mus musculus chromosome 4, GRC primary reference assembly.